rnacentral:rRNA from 1 species
CUGCUGCCUUCCGUAGGAGUCUGGGCCGUGUCUCAGUCCCAGUGUGGGCCGUCCACCCUCUCAGGCCGGCUGCUGAUCGUCGCUUUGGUGGGCCGUUACCCCGCCAACUGGCUAAUCAGACGCGGGCCCAUCCUGUACCACCGGAGUUUUCAAAGGAUUACCAUGCGGUAUUCCCUAUUAUGCGGUAUUAGCACCUAUUUCUAAGUGUUACUCCCCCGGUACAGGGCAGGUUGCCCACGCGUUACUCACCCGUCCGCCACUAAGACAGA